GACGAACGCUGGCGGCGUGCUUAACACAUGCAAGUCGAACGGAAAGGCCCUGCUUUUGUGGGGUGCUCGAGUGGCGAACGGGUGAGUAACACGUGAGUAACCUGCCCUUGACUUUGGGAUAACUUCAGGAAACUGGGGCUAAUACCGGAUAGGAGCUCCUGCUGCAUGGUGGGGGUUGGAAAGUUUCGGCGGUUGGGGAUGGACUCGCGGCUUAUCAGCUUGUUGGUGGGGUAGUGGCUUACCAAGGCUUUGACGGGUAGCCGGCCUGAGAGGGUGACCGGCCAAAUUGGGAUUGAGAUACGGCACAGACUCGUACGGGAGGCAGCAGUGGGGAAUAGUGCACAAUGGGCGGAAGCCUGAUGCAGCAACGCCGCGUGGGGGAUGACGGCAUUCGGGUUGUAAACCGCUUUCGCCUGUGACGAAGCGUUAGUGACGGUAAUGGGUAAAGAAGCACCGGCUAACUACGUG
rnacentral:rRNA from 1 species